GAUGAACGCUGGCGGCGUGCCUAAUACAUGCAAGUCGAACGAACAGACUAGAAUCUUUCUCCUCUGCCGUUAGCGACUGGCGUGUAACUAACACGUAGAGACCCUCGCUAUAGUACUACGAUAACUUCGUAACACCGAGCAUAAUACCAGAUUAUAUAUUAAGCCCCAUUAUUCAAUAAUGCAAGACAGCUUUGCUGUCACAGAUAGAUGGUUCCUCGCCGCAUUAGCUAGUUGGUAAGGUAACGGCUUACCAAGGCAACGAUGCGUAGCCGAUUUGAGAGGGUGAUCGGCCACACUGGAACUGAGACACGGUCCAGACUCCUACGGGAGGCAGCAGUAGGGAAUCUUCCGCAAUGGGCGAAAGCCUGACGGAGCAACGCCGCGUGAGUGAUGAAGGGUUUCGGAUCGUAAAACUCUGUUAUUAGGGAAGAACAAAAGUGUAAGUAACUAUGCACGGCUUGACGGUAUCUUAUCAGAAAGCCACGGCUAACUACGUG
rnacentral:rRNA from 1 species